UCCGCCUAUAUUUGAAGAACGUUCAACUGAUCACCGACCUAUUCAUCCUUGGCACUUCACGUAUGAAACAUAUCAUCACGACGCUAUUAAAGCUUUUGGUAAUACUGGCACUCUAGUUUUGAGUGAUUUGACUUUGGAAACCAGACCGUGCUUUAAAA